UAUGCCAGAAAGACUCAUAGGUGGAAAUUCAUCAAUUCUGUGAUAAAUGAAGGCUAUGAUUCGUAUCAAUAAAAGAAACAAAUGGGAAUGAAGAGGUUAGUGUGACCUCAGGAGAGAAGGAAAAGGAUUAUAAAACUUAAUUGCCCCUCACAAAAACAUAAAACAAGUCACCUCCCCCUUAUCUUGUACAUGCGUUAUAGCUGAAUUGAGCUUAGCCAACAGGAUGUUAACACUUUCUUGUCAAGAAAUAUUGGAAUUUAUAACUUGUAUAGAUAACAGAUUAGUCUAGGAAAACAUAUGUUGAAUUCUUGGAAUAGCGAUGUAAAAUAUCCAGAACAGGUGUGUAAUGAAUAUGCAUGAGACAACUGGAAUAAAUAUCGAGUUAAUAUCUAUGUCGAGGCGGCAGGCCUAGGAGAGAGUCUGUCUCCU